CUUUCUCUUUCACCUCAUUCUCUCAGUUCUUUUUUUUUUGCACCAGACCUCUUGUUCUCACCAUGUAUGCCUGUAUACAUCUCUGAGGUGCUGCUUUUUCUUGGCAGUAUGUGUAGCUUCUGGACCUGUGCCUCUUCUGUUUCUCCUCGGUUCUCUUGGGUGAUCUUGCAUCAGUCCAACUAAGCUGCUUGCUUGCAUUCGCCACCAGGAAGCCAGAAAGACCCAUGGUGAUGCCUGUCCACUGCAAAAACCAUCUACAAUUGGCAAGUGAGCACUAGAUCUGGACCAUGGAGAAGAAGAAAGAAAGUGACCUGGUGUGAUGUUCUUUUAAAUCACGUGGAUGGCCUGAUGCAUGUCCAUCACUUACCUGUACUAUGUGGCAAAAUUGAGAAAGUGUAACACUUGCUAUCAGCAGCGAUGCUGAUGGCUCUGCUAGUGAGGCGAGUGUGGAAGAUGUCCAUAAGGGAGGGCAGAGAGACACAGAUGAUCUUGCUGGCUGCAUUCACUAUGCAUUGCAGAGUCAUUCAACAGGAGGCAGUCCAGACCUCGUACCAUACAGUGUAGCACAGUUUUAUUUGUUUGUUAUACUAAGAGCCCCUCACAAUUUGAUAGUUUUAGAUCUUUUUUGCAAGGUAGAAUACAUUUGCAGAAUCAAGAUGUGACAGAGUGGUUACCUCCCAAAAAAACCAUAAUGCUAUAUUAUAACCAAAGUAUUUUAACAAAGCAUAAGUUAAGUGCCUUGUGCACCCAGGUCAUUAAAUUUUUUUAAAAUACUUAGUAUUGCAGAAUGUCACCGCAAAUGUUUUUACAUUUCAGAGAGUGUAGCACUUCAGUUUUAUGAGUUUGUUAUACUUUCUUACACUGCUGAAGGUUGUUACCUCCCAAAAAACAUAGUGCUAUAUUAUAACCAAAGGUUUUUUAAUCAAGUAUAAGUUAAGUGGCUUGUGCACCCAGGUCAUUAACAUUUUUUCCUUUCGUUUUGAAUUUAAGAUACAUAUAAUUAUUUUCUGAUUUUUACAAUCAUUAUAUCCUGCAUCCUAAAUGCUUUGAGGAUCAAAAAGCAAAAAAAGCACAUGUCAUAAUGGACAGGUUGGUGUGUGUGUGUGUGUGUGUGUGUGUGUGUGUGUGUGUGUGUGAGAGAGAGAGAGAGAGUUUGCAGGGUACAGCUGGAACUGCAGAGAUCAAACUUUGUUGCUUGUGUUGAUCAGAUGAUGCAGUGUAGGAGGAUAAAGGUUAUGAGGAAUUUGAGCAGAUGCUGUUUUUGUUUGAUUGUGCCAUUUCACAAUAUCUCUAAUCAUUACACACACAAAUUAGCUUAUUUGGGUACAGUGCUUAUAAUAGCAGGCUUCCAUUCACAUAGAAAAACUACAGAUAAUAAUAAUCCAAACCUCACUUUUAUGCUAUCUGGUGAAGGUUGUUUCUGAUGUUGGAUAUUAUUGUUUUUGUUUUCUUUUUUCAUCACAAUGGCCACAAUAUUUGUUGCUGUUUUCAUUGGCUGUUUGAGCUCUGGUUAUUAGUACACCUUUCUAUUUUGGACUUUCCAAAUUGUUGUACUGACUAUGUCCAAUGAUCUCCCAUAUCACUCUCUGGUAUUUAUGUUGUUUUUUUCUUUCUAGCAAAAAAAUGUAGUCUUCACAGGUGAAAAACAGGGCUCAAACAAAGAGUAGAAAUUUGGAUCUAUAAAUCAAACAUUUAGUCUAACAGGACACACCUGGGCAACAAGACACUUUUUCAAAUAUUUCGAUCACUUAAAAAAUGGAUGAAUUCCAACAAUGCCUUAAUGCAUAGCUUCAGUGUAUAGCAAAAACAAAAGAACUGUCCUUGCCGUUAUUUGGCAGCUGACUGUAUAUUAAAACUAAGAUGCAUAGCAUGAGAAAUAAAGUUGUAGUCAUAUAUUAUUUAUAGUUGACUUGCAUUUACCUUAUGAAACUACUUAAAAUGCAGCUAUGAAAUUAUAUUCCUUAAAACAGCUGUUUGUUGGCCAUUAGGAUAUACUGAUAAGAAUUACAUGCAUUAUCAUCAGACAGUGUCUGCUUUGGGGACUUUGUGUCUGUUGAAGGCUCCUAAGUUCUAUGUGGAAGUGAAUGGUAGAUAAUAGGUGAAUAGAAAGUUGUUUGUUUUCGUUGGAUAAAGACCAAUUAGACCAUUGGGUAAAUUAAGUAAUGACAGAAAUUAUUGAAAUGUAAAUAAUGUUAGUAAUAGAGGAUUCUGACUUAUUAUUUUGCAUUAUGAUCUAUUCUUUGUUCAUCCCUCAGCAGUAGACCUCCAGUACUUUCUUAGCUGUCAACUUCAUAUCCCAUUGAAAACAGUAUAGCUACAGUAGUUGGUAAGUUAAACCAAGUUUUAAAAUUUCACUACUUUCCUUCAGUAGGGUUAAAGGAAACAGUCCUGUUCACACCCAAUUAAGUUCAUGGUCUUAAGACAUUAGUGACACAAGUCACUUUGCUAUCGGUGCUCAGCAGUCAAACCGGGCAAAUUCACUGACUCCACUCAGUUGUAUACAACAGUUAACAUAUUACAUAAGCUCUCUGUUUAACUGUUUUUCCUUUUUAAAUGGAGAUGUUUUAUUGUAUUUUGUAUUGUAUAACUCGUAAAUUUUUAUGCUACAUCAUUGUUUUUCACAUUUUUUCAACAUAAAAAAGCUUAUAUCUUGUGAAUCCAGCAAUUAAAGGGUUAAACUGCCCAUGACCUAGACACAAAAAGGAUUAGUGGGUCUGUGAAUUUUCGGUAGCCAACUCCCAGGCAAGUAUAUCUGGAACUGGACUGAAUGGCGUCUGUGCUGGAUAGUGUGUGUGUGCGUGUUUUUGUGUGUGCUUACACCUCCCCCUGGCCCCUGCUCCACUCCUCCUCCCAAUUCUGUGGUUAGCCCUGCCCCUGUUAAUCACAUGACUUCUCUGAAAGGCCCCCUCCUGCUGCCUUCCCCCAUGUUUCCAGUAAAUUGCUUGAAAGGAGGGGGUGAGUCAGACCAGCUUCCCUUUAACCACAGCUUGUUAAAGAAUUUGUCAACGUGGACUCCAGGGCACACAUGACCCCUCCCCUUUCCUCCUUGCAAAGAUUUGAAUGUUUUGCUCCUUUCUUUGGACUUGUCUUUGGAUCGGAUUACGUCAGGUACCCAUAAUCACUCAACUUCUGGUGACACACUGUAAAAAGGGUAGGCAAGAAGCAUAGCGAGAGGGGAGGGUAAUGCGAGAAAUAAAAAAAAAUAAGUGUGUGUGUGUGUGUGUGUGUUGUGGGGGACACUAGAGCAUGCAUCUGGCUAAUUUAUAAUUAAACACAUUGAUCCAGUGUUUAGUCAAUUCUGUAUUUUGUCUAUAUGUGUCAGAUUUGGCAUCUGUCUGGUUAUGCCUGUUGCAAACUCACUAUUUAACUAUUUAACCUUCUGCACUGCUGGGUGCAACAACUUUUGUUCAAGCAAGUUCUUGAUAGCAUAUUAGAUAAAAAUUAAAGAUCAGAAAGUUUUCUUAAUUCAAUAAGGUGUUGUAACAAUAAACACUAAAAAAAAAUACAUAAAUGAAUAUCUCAAAGAGAGAUUAAAACAAAGGAAAAUAAUCCCAUAGUGUUAAAUAAUACUCUGCUUUUGACAAGAUAUUCAGACAUAAUUGCUACCCAAUGGGAUGGCAGGAUGGGUAGUGGUUAGCUGCAAAAGCCAAACUUUCCAUGAUGAGCACAAAUUAAGAAAUGGCAAAUAAAAUUCUUAUAAAAGUAUUGACGUUAAUAUUUUGAAAUAAUUUUUUUUUUCAUAAGCCAUUGAAAAAUAAUUUAAUUACCAAAAUAAUAAAAUGUUUAUAAAGUUUAAAAAAAAAAUUGCUGGAAGAUAAAGAAUUAAGCAAGAACUCAAAGGCAGAUAAUGUGAGACUAGCGACUAGACUUGAAAGUUUUAAGUCUCAGUUUUAUACAAAAAUAUCUUAUGGUUGCUUACUUAUUUGGCAUUUGCCGUGAGAGUGGGUGCUUAAUGUAGUUCUUUUAUGGGGCUUUUGCAGUGUGUGUUUUUGCACUGAUUGGUUUAUACAAAUAAAAAAAUAGAAUGGAUGCGCCUAAUAUUAGGUUUGAUUAUCCCCUUAUCCCCUCCCACCAAAGCAAAGGACCCCUCAAAUUUCAAUGCUCUUUAGAACCUUGAAAUCACAAAAGCAUAGGAUCAAAAUAACCUUUUCAUAAUUAAUCACAUUUUGUGUGAUCAUCUAUAAAUAUUUAUAUCUACCUAUCUAUCUGUCUAGCUGGAUCAUCUAAAUAUGCAGAUAUAAUAUUGUUAUUUAUAAAUAUUAGUCAGUUAUUUUUUGUGAAAACUAAAUCUGGACAAUAAGCUUGAAAUAAAUACUAUUAUUAUAAAGACUACUAUCUAAUAUUAUCUUGAAAUAAUUAUGUAGUUCCCAAAAUAAGAACAGAUUUUGAUAAACUGGCUCUUCUUUAACAGACAGAAAUUAAUAAUAAGAGGAAUAAAUGAUGAGACAUAAUAUUAUUUGGAUCUCUAUAAAAAAGUCAGUAAGUCUCAUUUGAUCCAUUUGUGUUCUGGUGAAUAUCUAUACAUCUGUAGUUUUAGACACCGUAGUAGUUUGUAGUUUUCCAUCUUCCACAUUUAUCUUGUUUUGAAUAAUCAUGAAUGUGCUUUCAUGAGGAUUUUUUAAUUUUUAAUUUAUUGUAACACAAAUAAUUAUAUUAUUAAAUUAUAUUUUUAAAAGUGGUUCUUCACAAAACUGUAAUUUUAUAGUAAAUAAGUAAAA